rnacentral:rRNA from 1 species
AGCGAACGCUGGCGGCAGGCCUAACACAUGCAAGUCGAACGAACCUUUCGGGGUUAGUGGCGGACGGGUGAGUAACACGUGGGAACGUGCCUUUAGGUUCGGAAUAACUCAGGGAAACUUGUGCUAAUACCGAAUGUGCCCUUCGGGGGAAAGAUUUAUCGCCUUUAGAGCGGCCCGCGUCUGAUUAGCUAGUUGGUUGAGGUAAUGGCUCACCAAGGCGACGAUCAGUAGCUGGUCUGAGAGGAUGAUCAGCCACAUUGGGACUGAGACACGGCCCAAACUCCUACGGGAGGCAGCAGUGGGGAAUCUUGCGCAAGGGGCGAAAGCCUGACGCAGCCAUGCCGCGUGAAUGAUGAAGGGCUUAGGAUUGUAAAAUUCUUUCACCGGGGACGAUAAUGACGGUACCCGGAGAAGAAGCCCCGGCUAACUUCGUG